GCCCGGGUCGGCCAGGAGGGCGGCGGCGAUGCGGCGGCCGGCCUCGGCGGCGGUCUUGACGCCGCCGCCGUUCCAGCCGCGCACGGCCCC
rnacentral:tRNA from 1 species